GACGAACUCUGGCGGCGUGCUUAACACAUGCAAGUCGUACGGUAAGGCCCUUUCGGGGGUACACGAGUGGCGAACGGGUGAGUAACACGUGAGUAACCUGCCCACAACUUUGGGAUAACGCUAGGAAACUGGUGCUAAUACUGGAUAUGUGCCCCUGCUGCAUGGUGGGGGUUGGAAAGCUCCGGCGGUUGUGGAUGGACUCGCGGCCUAUCAGCUUGUUGGUGGGGUAGUGGCCUACCAAGGCGGCGACGGGUAGCCGGCCUGAGAGGGUGACCGGCCACAUUGGGACUGAGAUACGGCCCAGACUCCUACGGGUGGCAGCAGUGGGGAAUAUUGCACAAUGGGCGCAAGCCUGAUGCAGCAACGCCGCGUGCGGGAUGACGGCCUUCGGGUUGUAAACCGCUUUCAGCAGGGACGAAGCUUUUUGUGACGGUACCUGCAGAAGAAGCACCGGCUAACUACGUG
rnacentral:rRNA from 1 species